CAGUCGAAUUGUCAUGGUGCCUCUGUCAGACUCCUCCCCCUCCAGCUUGGCUCCACUCUGCUCCUGAUUAUUCUCCAGCUGCCGUCACUCAACUCAUCAACCUCUGCUGCUUAAAAGGAGACCCAAUGCCAAUAAUCAGCGCCAGAUCGUUGCCCAUUUUGGAAACCGGUCCAAGAGUGACGUCAGCACAGUCUCCAGCCUGCUGUCGGGAAGGAUCAGUGAACUGCCGCGUCCGCACCUCCAGCCGUGCCACAGACUAUCCAUCUGGAUCACCUCUCGCCAACCCUCUUUGCCAGCCUCAAAGAAAAUAAUAAAUCCUUCUUACCUGCCA